GUCAUUUUGUAUUACGCACGGGAAAUUGACAGCCCAAUCGGGUGUUGGGGCAUCAAUUUCCCGUUUGUAAUACAAAAUGACUGAAAAUUGCAAAUUUCGCAAGGCUAUAUUAUCCGCAUUUUACAACAUUUCGCAAACGAAACUUUGAAAUAUUACUAAUUUUGUGAUGCUCUUUCAAGCUGUGAUGAAAUUUUUGACUAGAUCAAAAUUUGGUCUAUAAUGCAAAUGGUCCAUUGUCAUA